rnacentral:rRNA from 1 species
CCUACGGGGGGCAGCAGUGAGGAAUAUUGGUCAAUGGACGAGAGUCUGAACCAGCCAAGUAGCGUGAAGGAUGACUGCCCUAUGGGUUGUAAACUUCUUUUAUAUGGGAAUAAAACGUUCCACGUGUGGGAUUUUGUAUGUACCAUAUGAAUAAGGAUCGGCUAACUCCGUGCCAGCAGCCGCGGUAAGACGGAGGAUCCGAGCGUUAUCCGGAUUUAUUGGGUUUAAAGGGAGCGUAGGUGGAUUGUUAAGUCAGUUGUGAAAGUUUGCGGCUCAACCGUAAAAUUGCAGUUGAAACUGGCAGUCUUGAGGACAGUAGAGGUGGGCGGAAUUCGUGGUGUAGCGGUGAAAUGCUUAGAUAUCACGAAGAACUCCGAUUGCGAAGGCAGUUCACUGGACUGCAACUGACACUGAGGCUCGAAAGUGUGGGUAUCAAACAGGAUUAGAUACCCCUGUAGUC